rnacentral:rRNA from 1 species
GGUUAAGUUAGAAAGGGCGCACGGUGGAUGCCUUGGCACUAGGAGCCGAAGAAGGACGGGACUAACACCGAUAUGCUUUGGGGAGCUGUACGUAAGCGUUGAUCCAGAGAUUUCCGAAUGGGGGAACCCACUAUCUUUAGUCGGAUAGUAUCCUUACGUGAAUACAUAGCGUGAGGAAGGCAGACCCAGGGAACUGAAACAUCUAAGUACCUGGAGGAAGAGAAAGAAAAAUCGAUUUCCUGAGUAGCGGCGAGCGAAACGGAAAGAGCCCAAACCAAGAAGCUUGCUUCUUGGGGUUGUAGGACACUCUAUACGGAGUUACAAAAGAAAGUUAUAAAUGAAGCGGUCUGGAAAGGCCCGCCAAAGACGGUAACAGCCCGGUAGUUGAAAUGGCUUUCCCUCCAGAGUGGAUCCUGAGUACGGCGGAACACGUGAAAUUCCGUCGGAAUCCGGGAGGACCAUCUCCCAAGGCUAAAUACUCCCUAGUGACCGAUAGUGAACCAGUACCGUGAGGGAAAGGUGAAAAGCACCCCGGAAGGGGAGUGAAACAGUUCCUGAAACCGUGUGCCUACAAGUAGUUAGAGCCCGUUAAUGGGUGAUAGCGUGCCUUUUGUAGAAUGAACCGGCGAGUUACGAUUUGUUGCAAGGUUAAGCGGAAAAAGCGGAGCCGUAGCGAAAGCGAGUCUGAAUAGGGCGCAUAAGUAACAGGUCGUAGACCCGAAACCAGGUGAUCUACCCAUGUCCAGGAUGAAGGUAAGGUAAUACUUACUGGAGGUCCGAACCCACGCACGUUGAAAAGUGCGGGGAUGAGGUGUGGGUAGCGGAGAAAUUCCAAUCGAACUUGGAGAUAGCUGGUUCUCUCCGAAAUAGCUUUAGGGCUAGCCUCGAGGUAAAGAGUCAUGGAGGUAGAGCACUGUUUGGACUAGGGGCCCUUCUCGGGUUACCGAAUUCAGAUAAACUCCGAAUGCCAUGUACUUAUACUCGGGAGUCAGACUGCGAGUGAUAAGAUCCGUAGUCGAAAGGGAAACAGCCCAGACCACCAGUUAAGGUCCCCAAAUAUAUGUUAAGUGGAAAAGGAUGUGGGGUUGCUUAGACAACCAGGAUGUUGGCUUAGAAGCAGCCACCAUUGAAAGAGUGCGUAAUAGCUCACUGGUCGAGUGACCCCGCGCCGAAAA